UUAUCUCAAAUUGAAAGAGAUGUAUACGCCAUUCCAGUUUCUACAGUAGCAUCCGAAUCUGCUUUUAGUACCGGAGGACGUAUUCUUGAUGCAUUCCGAAGUUCAUUGGAUCCAAUAAUGGUGGAGGCUUUGAUUUGUUCUCAAAAUUGGUUGCAAUCAAAGCCUAUGACGUAUGAUUAUAGAGUUGAAGUACCAAUACAAGAUGUCGCAUAUUAUGAUUCUAUUGAAUCGGGAGCAUCUUGGGUUACAAAACAAAGUUUACCUCCACCUAAUUGAUCUAUGAUUACUUGGAUGAAUGGAAUUUGGUUUAUUGAGGUAGUGAGCUUUGCAUGGCAUAUUGUGAGAUUGAGCUUGUGGUUG